GCCUCGCUGGCCCAAUGGUUAAGGCGCUUGACUUCGAAUCAAGCGAUUGUCAGUUCGAAUCUGGCGUGAGGCU
rfam:Taphrina deformans PYCC 5710 genomic scaffold, scaffold00094